rnacentral:rRNA from 1 species
GACAGAGGGGGCAAGCGUUGCUCGGAAUUACUGGGCGUAAAGGGCGCGUAGGCGGCUUGAUAAGCGUGCGGUGAAAGCCCGGGGCUCAACCCCGGGUCGGCCGUGCGAACUGUCGAGCUGGAGCACUGUAGAGGCAGGUGGAAUUCCGGGUGUAGCGGUGGAAUGCGUAGAGAUCCGGAAGAACACCGGUGGCGAAGGCGGCCUGCUGGGCAGUGGCUGACGCUGAGGCGCGACAGCGUGGGGAGCAAACAGG